GACGAACGCUGGCGGCGUGCUUAACACAUGCAAGUCGAACGGAAAGGCCCUGCUUUUGUGGGGUGCUCGAGUGGCGAACGGGUGAGUAACACGUGAGUAACCUGCCCUUGACUUUGGGAUAACUUCAGGAAACUGGGGCUAAUACCGGAUAGGAGCUCCUGCUGCAUGGUGGGGGUUGGAAAGUUUCGGCGGUUGGGGAUGGACUCGCGGCUUAUCAGCUUGUUGGUGGGGUAGUGGCUUACCAAGGCUUUGACGGGUAGCCGGCCUGAGAGGGUGACCGGCCACAUUGGGACUUGGAUACGGCCCAGACUCCUACGGGGGGCAACAGUGGGGAAUAUUGCACAAUGGGCGGAAGCCUGAUGCAGCAACGCCGCGUGCGGGAUGACGGCCUUCGGGUUGUAAACCGCUUUCGCCUGUGACGAAGCGUGAGUGACGGUAAUGGGUAAAGAAGCACCGGCUAACUACGUG
rnacentral:rRNA from 1 species